GGAUGGAAGAUGAGGCUUGCUUUUUCUUUCUCCUAGAAGUCAGCAUUUUACAUGAUUCUGGGAGGGAAGAAAGGAGACAGGAACCAAGGAGCCUGAGUAGGGAUUUGCCCACCGCUGGGCAGCCAGGCUCCCGUCAGGAAGGCUUUUCAGAGGGAGUGUUGGAAGGAGUCGUCGAGGAGUCUUCCUCACCCAGGAAGUCUUCCUCACCGGGUGAGCCCCAACCUGCUGGACCUGCUCAGAAUUCGCCCAACAGGGGAUCCUGGUUGACUGAGGUCUGCUAAUUCCAAUUCACCUACGCUAAAUUCUCCCAGAAUGUCUUCAUCAUCAAUGAAUCCCUUUCCACUGACACAACGCCUGGAAGAACAUAAACUCU
rnacentral:lncRNA from 1 species